GUAAAAUGUCUUUCUUCUUGACAUGGAUCAAAGCUAUUUUUAUCACUGCCCUGGCAUUUCCUCAUUAUUCUGAAACUGGUUUUGAACCUUCACCAGAAAUUCGUAGACUCCCAAACUGUGAUGUGUAUGUACAUCAAUUACAUUUUUGCACAAGAGAAAUGGAUCCAGUCUGUGCAACCAAUGGCCAAACUUAUUCCAAUACAUGCGUUUUCUGCAGUGA